rnacentral:lncRNA from 1 species
GGCCUGUGCGGGGGGAGCAGGCUUGGUUGGCAACUUGGCGGGGGCUGGCUGCGCGCCCUUUCCUGCGGCCGCCGCCGCCUGCUUCUUCGCCUCGGCCUUCUGCUUCGCUGCCGCAGCAGCGGCCAGCAGCUGCGUGGGAUCGUCGUUGUCGACGGCGCCCAGGAUGUCAAAGGGAUUGAGGGUCGCCAUGGAGACGGCGGCGGCAAAGGUCACACUGCACUCGCGUUCUUGUAUGUGGGGACUGGGGAACUGACCCUUCUGGCUACAACACCAUCCUGCCGGACCGCAUCGCCAUGGCUCUGACGAGGUCGAGGAGCGGGGGGCUAAGGUUGCGGCGGCGGCGGCGGCGGUGGUAGGAGGUGGAGACGAAGCAGGUGGGGGGCGAAG